rnacentral:rRNA from 1 species
CCUACGGGGGGCAGCAGUGAGGAAUAUUGGUCAAUGGGCGCGAGCCUGAACCAGCCAAGUCGCGUGAGGGAAGACGGUCCUAUGGAUUGUAAACCUCUUUUGUCGGGGAGCAAAAGACGCCACGCGUGGCGUUCCGAGAGUACCUGAAGAAAAAGCAUCGGCUAACUCCGUGCCAGCAGCCGCGGUAAUACGGAGGAUGCGAGCGUUAUCCGGAUUUAUUGGGUUUAAAGGGUGCGCAGGCGGAAUGUAAAGUCAGCGGUAAAAUGUCGGGGCACAACCCCGUCGUGCCGUUGAAACUGGCGUUCUUGAGUGAGCGAGAGGUAUGCGGAAUGCGUGGUGUAGCGGUGAAAUGCAUAGAUAUCACGCAGAACUCCGAUUGCGAAGGCAGCAUACCGGCGCUCAACUGACGCUCAUGCACGAAAGCGUGGGUAUCGAACAGGAUUAGAUACCCUUGUAGUC